rnacentral:misc_RNA from 1 species
AAGUCGUAACAAGGUUUCCGUAGGUGAACCUGCGGAAGGAUCAUUAACACGUAUCCAAACGUUAAACAACCCCGUGAACAUACAACCUGCUCUGGUCGCCCGCUCGCAUGGACAAGCCCAGUAAAUCAAGCCCCGGAAAGUUUUUGAUUUGGGACCUCUGUGCGCGUGAGAAAAACUGACAGCGAUUCAUAGAAGCGGUAGGUCAAGUGACACGGCGUCCCCAAGUGACCAGUGAAUGAAAGUGUCGCUGGAGCGUCAAGGACGACUCUUCAAGAUUGCUAGACCACCGACCGGCUUCCGUGUAUACCGAGCUAACACCGCUCCCACUUUAUUGCCUUGCCUGUAAGCAUCCAUACGGAUGGGCAGGCCCCCCGAACAACUGUUAACAAUGGAUAUCUUGGUUCUC